rnacentral:lncRNA from 1 species
AAUCUAAUAGGAAGCAAUGAUUUUGAAUAGCACAGUACAGUAAAUUAAGGUUGGUUUAGCUGAACACUUGUCUCUGCAUAUAAAUGUCUUCUUAUUUUACCCUCAAUCCUUCCCCUGAUUUUCCCCUCAAUCCUGAUAAUAGAAAGAAGCUUGGCAUGUUGCAUUUUUUUAUUUGUUGAAGUGAGAUUUUGCUUGUUUUUAAUUUUUAUGUAGGUAAUCAGAACAUGUGACUUGUCAGGUCAUGUGCUAUGCUUUUAUGCAAUGAAAGGUGCAUACCAUGUUGAAAGGGUGAUUGAUGAAUUAUUAGUAUGUUCCUUGUUUGGCAGUUUCACAACAAAUAAGCAGACUAGACUCUUUGAUUACCAUCAACUUAUCAGCUAAUCACAGUAUGAACACAAAACAUCACUCGAAGUCUCGAACGAAAGGGGGAUAUAAAAGAAGAGCAGGUAGGCAUGCUUCAUCUGCAAGGAUCUAGUGAGAAAACACAGGUUAUUGAAAAAAGGACUAGUAAGUUAAAAAUGUUAAAAAACUUUUCUUUUUUAUAUUAAAAAGAAUGACUUAAUUAUACUUAUGGUCUCGU